UCUUAUUUUUUCAUUCAUCACAUCCUGCCUCAGCACCUUUGUGCCCACCCCUGUGCUAAAAUGUGGGUACCUGGUGAGUGACCAGCAUAGCACUGGCCCUCCUUAACUUAUAGCUCAGAAUUUAGUGGGAAGGCAGACACUAAACUCAGAAACAAACAAGUCAGCCAGAUAAUUUGGGGACUAAGGGCCGUAAAGAGAAUAAUUCAGGAUGUUACUAGAGGUUGGGGAGGCCUCUGUGUUGAAGUAGACAGUGUGGUGUGCUCAGUCCUCUCCAACCAUCAGUAAGGUGUCUGGCUGGCUCUGUGGUAGGUGAUGCUGGAGAACAGCGGGUGCCCCAACAGGUUUCUGUCCUCAUGGAGCUACCAGGACAGAGCAGAAGACAGCCUCAGGCUGGAGGGGUGGGCCUAUGAUGAGAGAAGCAGCACAGGCAGAGGGGUUAGGGGCACGGUGGGGGAAGGCCAAUCAGAGUGGUUAUGGCUGGGAUGGAGGUGUUGUGAUAGCACAGAUGGGGCAUGUGACCCAGCCUGGGGGUGUCAGUGAAGCUUCCUGGUAGAGGUAGGUGUAAUGAAGAGGAAUUAGUUCAGUGAAGAGGAUUUGUGGUGAGAGGGAAAAGCAUUGGAGGUCUGUACUAAGUACACAAAUGAAUGUAUAUGUAGCAAUUGUGAUAAGUACUCAGAAGGGAAAGAAAGAAUCACUGGAUAUUAUGAGAAAGAACAAGCUGGGCACUAGCUAAUGCUUUAUAUUGAGGAGUGAGAAAGGUCUCUCUGAGAAGGAAACAUUUUUUUUUACAGAAAUUGACCUUUAUUGUACUAAAGUCUGUUUAUAACUUUUGAUACAAGGUGAGAUUUCAGUACAGAAAAUCCCAGUCUGGCAGAACAGUACCUGUGCGCACUGUACCAUCACAGUUCCACUGCCUGCAGCUCAGAGCAACAGCCAGAGCGCAUGCAAGUAAGACUUCGAGACAACCUACAGUUUGACUGAGUUGUCUGAGCUAGAAAACUUGUACUUGUAAAACAAAGGGCAGCAUUGAGGACUGAAACGUGUCUCUUUUCAAACAACUGUGCAAGAAAAUAUAUCUCUCUUUUAAAAAAUUCAGUAUGACUAAACUACAAUCUAGUGUCUAGAAUUACAGAGAAUAAAAUGAAAUAAAAGAUUUCUUGCUAGUAAGAUGAAAUGUUAGGAACAGUAUUAGAAUGUAGGUCCCACCGCAGUGACAUGUACACGGAGCCUGGCAUAGUACUUAUUACUGACAGGACGCACAGCUCAGGGAGGAACCACAUCAAAUGUUCAGCCAGAGACAUCCAGCACCGGAGGUACAAAAAAAAUAAAUAAA